rnacentral:sRNA from 1 species
AACCGUGAUCGUUGCGCCGCGGCAGGCGGU